rnacentral:rRNA from 1 species
AUACGGAGGGGGCUAGCGUUGUUCGGAAUUACUGGGCGUAAAGGGUGCGUAGGCGGCUUGAUAAGUCGGAUGUGAAAGCCCCGGGCUUAACCUAGGAAUUGCAUUCGAUACUGUCAGGCUAGAGUAUGUCAGAGGUUGGCGGAAUUCCUGGUGUAGCGGUGAAAUGCGUAGAUAUCAGGAGGAACACCAGUGGCGAAGGCGGCUAACUGGGACAAUACUGACGCUGAGGCACGAAAGCGUGGGGAGCAAACAGGAUUAGAUACCCUAGUAGUCC